ACCUAUGGCGAGUUAUAGGUAUCACCCUUUCCUUCUGCUCUGCUCCGAACCGUACCUUUUCUUCUUCUCUUCUUCGCGUUGUGUGAGCUGGUUCAAUGCGUGAGUGAAGCUUAGAGUGGAGAUUGUGAUUUUCUGCAGACUGACUGAGAUUGGAGAGUUGUGGAAAAUAGAAGAGUUGCGAAGAGAAAACGAAAAAUGAAUAGUGAAGUAUGAAUAUCUGGAAAUAAUGAGUAUGUGCUUGAAUUAAAGUUUGAAUGCUUGCUAAUUGAUGAAUAUGCCAUGAUCUCAAAAUGUGAUUUUCUUGACUUUGUAGGUAAUUCUAUGGAAGAUAAAAACUUGGUCUUCUUGAAGCUUGGAAUGGAUAGGCUUGCUAUGACAUGCUUGGAAUGCUAUGUUUAACUUUAGCAUUAGUAGGAAUUAUAAUUUUUGUAAUGUGAACUCUAUUGUAAUGUAAAGGAUUGGUUUAAAAUUGAAGAUAUGGAUUGGCUUGUAAUUUAUUUUGGAACAUUUUGA
rnacentral:lncRNA from 1 species